rnacentral:rRNA from 1 species
GAUGAACGCUAGCGGGAGGCCUAACACAUGCAAGCCGAGCGGUAGAGUUUCUUCGGAAACUUGAGAGCGGCGCACGGGUGCGUAACACGUGUGCAACCUACCUUUAUCUGGGGGAUAGCCUUUCGAAAGGAAGAUUAAUACCCCGUAAUAUAAUGAUUGGCAUCAAUUAUUAUUGAAAACUCCGGUGGAUAGAGAUGGGCACGCGCAAGAUUAGAUAGUUGGUGAGGUAACGGCUCACCAAGUCAAUGAUCUUUAGGGGUCCUGAGAGGGAGAUCCCCCACACUGGUACUGAGACACGGACCAGACUCCUACGGGAGGCAGCAGUGAGGAAUAUUGGACAAUGGGUGAGAGCCUGAUCCAGCCAUCCCGCGUGAAGGAUGACGGUCCUAUGGAUUGUAAACUUCUUUUGUACAGGGAUAAACCUACCCUCGUGAGGGUAGCUGAAGGUACUGUACGAAUAAGCACCGGCUAACUCCGUG